rnacentral:rRNA from 1 species
AUACGUAGGGAGCGAGCGUUGUCCGGAAUUACUGGGUGUAAAGGGAGCGUAGGCGGGAGUGCAAGUCGGAUGUGAAAUACAUGGGCUCAACCCAUGGGCUGCAUUUGAAACUGCAUUUCUUGAGUGAAGUAGAGGUAAGCGGAAUUCCUGGUGUAGCGGUGAAAUGCGUAGAUAUCAGGAGGAACACUGGUGGCGAAGGCGGCUUACUGGGCUUUUACUGACGCUGAGGCUCCAAAGCGUGGGGAGCAAACAGGAUUAGAUACCCUGGUAGUCCACGCUGUAAACGAUGAUUACUAGGUGUGGGGGGACUGACCCCUUCCGUGCCGCAGUUAACACAAUAAGUAAUCCACCUGGGGAGUACGGCCGCAAGGUUGAAACUCAAAUGAAUUGACGGGG